rnacentral:rRNA from 1 species
UGGGAUCAGCGUUGGAAACGACGUCUAAUACUGGAUAGGACUACUGGCCGCAUGGUCUGGUGGUGGAAAGAUUUUUUGGUUGGGGAUGGACUCGCGGCCUAUCAGCUUGUUGGUGAGGUAAUGGCUCACCAAGGCGACGACGGGUAGCCGGCCUGAGAGGGUGACCGGCCACACUGGGACUGAGACACGGCCCAGACUCCUACGGGAGGCAGCAGUGGGGAAUAUUGCACAAUGGGCGAAAGCCUGAUGCAGCAACGCCGCGUGAGGGAUGACGGCCUUCGGGUUGUAAACCUCUUUUAGUAGGGAAGAAGCGAAAGUGACGGUACCUGCAGAAAAAGCACCGGCUAAYUACGUGCCAGCAGCCGCGGUAAUACGUAGGGUGCAAGCGUUGUCCGGAAUUAUUGGGCGUAAAGAGCUCGUAGGCGGUUUGUCGCGUCUGCUGUGAAAUCCCGAGGCUCAACCUCGGGCUUGCAGUGGGUACGGGCAGACUAGAGUGCGGUAGGGGAGAUUGGAAUUCCUGGUGUAGCGGUGGAAUGCGCAGAUAUCAGGAGGAACACCGAUGGCGAAGGCAGAUCUCUGGGCCGUAACUGACGCUGAGGAGCGAAAGCAUGGGGAGCGAACAGGAUUAGAUACCCUGGUAGUCCAUGCCGUAAACGUUGGGCGCUAGAUGUAGGGACCUUUCCACGGUUUCUGUGUCGUAGCUAACGCAUUAAGCGCCCCGCCUGGGGAGUACGGCCGCAAGGCUAAAACUCAAAGGAAUUGACGGGGGCCCGCACAAGCGGCGGAGCAUGCGGAUUAAUUCGAUGCAACGCGAAGAACCUUACCAAGGCUUGACAUACACCGGAAACGGCCAGAGAUGGUCGCCCCCUUGUGGUCGGUGUACAGGUGGUGCAUGGUUGUCGUCAGCUCGUGUCGUGAGAUGUUGGGUUAAGUCCCGCAACGAGCGCAACCCUCGUUCUAUGUUGCCAGCGCGUUAUGGCGGGGACUCAUAGGAGACUGCCGGGGUCAACUCGGAGGAAGGUGGGGAUGACGUCAAAUCAUCAUGCCCCUUAUGUCUUGGGCUUCACGCAUGCUACAAUGGCCGGUACAAAGGGCUGCGAUACCGUAAGGUGGAGCGAAUCCCAAAAAGCCGGUCUCAGUUCGGAUUGAGGUCUGCAACUCGACCUCAUGAAGUCGGAGUCGCUAGUAAUCGCAGAUCAGCAACGCUGCGAGGAA